rnacentral:rRNA from 1 species
AGAGGGUGCGAGCGUUAAUCGGAAUUACUGGGCGUAAAGCGCACGUAAGUGGUUCUGUAAGUCGGAUGUGAAAGCCCCGGGCUUAACCUGGGAACUGCAUUCGAGACUGCAGUACUGGAGUAUGGGAGAGGGAAGCGGAAUUUCCGGUGUAGCGGUGAAAUGCGUAGAUAUCGGAAGGAACAUCAGUGGCGAAAGCGGCUUCCUGGCCCAAUACUGACACUCAUGUGCGAAAGCGUGGGGAGCAAACAGGAUUAGAUACCCUGGUAGUCCACGCCAUAAACGAUGAGAACUAGAUGUCGAGAGGGUUAGCCUCACGGUGUCGCAGCUAACGCGUUAAGUUCUCCGCCUGGGGAGUACGGCCGCAAGGUUG